CACGGCUCCAUCCCCGAUAAUAGGAGAGCCGAGAAACCACUCUUUCCCGGAGAGAGACACAGGUGGCAAAAUAAAAGAAAAACUCUUACCAUUUCUUGGUAUGUAUUAUUAUUAGCUAGAAAGCACAGUUAUGUAUAAAGCUCUUAUAAAAGCAAGGAAACAAGACAAAACAAAAGGAUCUGCAGCACAAGUUCUGAAAAUGCAGCCAACGCCAGAAUGGCCCAGGAGGUGAGCACGGGGCUCUGAAGCCAGGUGUGCCAGAGUUCCAGUCACAGCCCCCAACUCAUCAGAGAGACAGACAGAGACAGACAGACAGGCAGAGCCGCAGUGCACACCGUGCGUGUGUCGGAGAGGCCGCCGGGAGACUCACCGCAGC